rnacentral:rRNA from 1 species
UACGAACUGUGCAAACGUUAUUCGGAAUCACUGGGCUUAAAGGGUGCGUAGGCGGCUAUCUAAGCAGGGUGUGAAAGCCCCCGGCUCAACCGGGGAAUUGCGUUCUGAACUGGAUGGCUGGAGUGAGAUAGGGGUGUGUGGAACUUCCAGUGGAGCGGUGAAAUGUGUUGAUAUUGGAAGGAACGCCGGUGGCGCAAGCGACACACUGGGUCUCAACUGACGCUGAGGCACGAAAGCCAGGGGAGCGAACGGG